rnacentral:rRNA from 1 species
GACGAACCGUGCGAACGUUGUUCGGAAUCACUGGGCUUAAAGGGCGCGUAGGCGGCUUGCCAAGUCAGGGGUGAAAUCCUGCAGCUUAACUGUAGAAGGGCCUUUGAUACUGGCGAGCUCGAGGGAGGCAGGGGUGCGUGGAACUUCUGGUGGAGCGGUGAAAUGCGUUGAUAUCAGAAGGAACGCCGGUGGCGAAAGCGACGCACUGGACCUUUUCUGACGCUGAGGCGCGAAAGCUAGGGGAGCAAACGGG